GCGUUGGUGGGGCAACGGUUAGUGCGCUCCCGAAAAGGGUGAGAUCUGGGUUGGAAUCCCGGCUGACGCA